GCAAACACUUUCAAAUGGGCCACUUUGGGUAUGAUGUAAAUUAAAACUCUGUCUUUUUUAGGUUUUCUCCAAAGUCGGAACGGUGAAGAGCUGUACUGUUUCCAAGAAAAAGAACAAAGCAGGUGUUUUGCUGUCCAUGGGGUUUGGUUUUGUGGAGUACAGGAAGCCAGAGCAGGCCCAGAAAGCCCUCAGACAGCUCCAGGGCUGCAUGGUGGACGACCACAAGCUAGAAGUGAAGAUUUCUGAGAGGGCCGUCAAGUGAGUCUCUUGCUUUCUAAGCCUUUCCUCCCCCGUGAAGCAGGGGGGUCUUCUUGGUUGCCCC
ensembl:lncRNA